rnacentral:misc_RNA from 1 species
ACUUUUGAGAGUUCGCUAUUAAAACUAUAUAUUCAGACAGUACUGUACUUUAUUUUUCCCCAAAGGAUCGUUAUGGAUGAUUUCAAUUCGUGAGCACAUUUUUUCUUGUUUUUCUUUUACUGAAAGUAGAGAGACAGCAUUUUAUCACAGGUUUAGUCCCUCUGAAAACUGAAGAAUCGUGUACCCUGAUCAGUUGCUCUCCUGAGUUCAAGGUGGGAUGUUACACUCUUGAGCGCUCUCGGUUGAAACCAUAUAUCAAGACUGUACUGUACUUUAUUUUCUCCCAUAGGAUCGUUAUGGAUGAUUUCAAAUCGUGACCACUUAUUUUAUUCUUGUUUUUCUUUUAUUGAAAGUGAAUAGAAAGCAUUUUAUCACACAGAUUUGGUCCCAUUGAAUAAUCGUGUACGCCCCACAGGAAGAAAGAAUCCCUGCCAGAUGCACAACUCAUUUCAGACGCGCGCAAGGAGCUUAGCUGAUCAGUGGUUCUCUUGAUAUCAAGUGGGCUGCUACACUCGAGAGCUCGCUGUCAAACUCUCCAUAUUGUUCAGACCACUGUACUUUUAUCAUCUCCCAAAGGAUCGUUAUGGAUGCUUUCAAGUCGUCCAACUUCUCUGUGGAGGAGUAUGAAGCCAGUUGCAGAAAGAAAUUUGAGGUUGACAAUGCCAUUUACAAGAAAAUAUUCACUUUCUUAGAAAGCAGAAGUUUUGUCAACGAUGAAGAGAAACCUGAACGAAAAUUCAUCCAGAGAAAGCUGAAUGAUGAACUGUGCAAAGCUUUCGGUAUCAAGAGGAGCGUCAUAUCAGUGUACCAUCCUCAGACGAAUGGUUUGGUCGAGAGGAUGAACUGGACUUUCAAAACCAAGCUUACGAAGUUGGCCAAUGCAAGUUGGAGUGACUGACCCAACUACUUCGAACAAACUGCGUACAGUAUGAAGACGCAAAACCAGAAGAGCACAGGAUUCACACCAAAUUGCCUGGAUGAUUAUGAAUACAACUAUGAUCAGCUAGAUGAUGAAAGUUUUGUAAGGGAAGCAGAUGGUAAAGGAAAAAACUCAGAAAAAUAAUUCGGAGAUACUUGAACUGAGACGAUAGCUAAAAGGACUCAUGCUGCAUUAAAGGGUUAGCUAAAACGAAAAAUCUGAUUUAAAACAAACUGUUGUCUAGCAAAUUAUAUAUAUAUAUAUAUAUAUAUAUAUAUAUAUAUAUAUAUAUAUAUAUAUAUAUAUAUAUAUAUAUAUAUAUAUAUAUAUAUACAGUAUAUACACACAUAUAACCUGCUAUAGUCUUCCAAAUCUAAACGCGGCUUUCUGGCUGGGCUCCUUAGGGAAUAACAGGCCUUCCAGCUCUGCCAAGUCUACAUGAACUAGCAAAUUAGAGCUCAGUAUACAUAAAUAAGAGGCAUAUAAAAUGCUUUAACAAAAAUACAGUAUCAUCAAAUGUUAAAAGAAUUUAAUUAAAAGAAAAAUUAAUAUUCCACCCUUACAAUAUACACAUCAUAAUAACAAAUACCGGCAGACCUGUGUAACAGUGUUGCUGUGAAAACGUUAUAAUCUUUAUUGAACGUUCACCAUAGUCCUUAGUAAGACAAAUGGUGCAACAACUGUUCCAUAUUCAACACGAAUGAAUAUCUAAAAAAGAAAUUAGAUUUAUGCAAUACGAAUGAAUAUCUAAAAAAAAAAUUGAUUAUUCAUGUAUAAGAUAAAAUAUUUUUGACUCCAUUCACACGGCAACACUCAUUACUGUCCAAGGCGCAGCCUGCCUGCCAGACACAUUUAGGGACAAGGUCACGUGUCACGGUGGUUGAUACCUGUUCCCCCACACACACACACACACACACACACACACACGGUGCAAAUUUAAGGAUGGAAAUUGAAUAUAGGCAUAAGGAAGGAUUGCCACGGAGAGAGAAAGAGAGAGAGAGAGAGAGAGAGAGAGAGAGAGAGAGAGAAAUGAGCGAUGGGUCAGGUCACACACUUGGUCAUUGAAAUUCUGGGUGAAACGUGGCAGUAGUGGAAGGCCUGCUAUUCCCUAAGGAGACCCACCAAAAAGCCAUGUUUAGAUUUGGAAUGCUAUAGACGACAGUUUGUUUUAAAUUAGAUUUUCCCUUUUAGCUAACCCUUUAAUGCAGCAGGAGUCCUUUAAGGUACUGUACUUACUAGCUGUCGUCUCGGUUCAAGUACCUCUAAUUGAUAUAUGUAUGUAUGUAUGUAUGUAUAUAUAUAUAUAUAUAUAUAUAUAUAUAUAUAUAUAUAUAUAUAUAUAUAUAUAUAUAUAUAUAUAUAUAUAUAUAUUACUGAAUUAUCAGUAUCAUCUAAAUUAUGGAAAAAUAAUUUUAUCAAGUACAAACACAAGUUAAUUAAUUGAUAUCAUGAAAUUUAUGUACCGUAGGUAAUAUGCAUUUUUUAAAUAUGCAUAAGAAAUAAUUAACUACAUGAUUUAUGUAUCUAUAUCUUUGUCACCACAAUUUUUUUGUGUUAACAAAUGUUUAUAGCUUGAUUCAGAAAAUAUAUGUAUGCAAUAUGCAUUUUUAAACUACCAGAAACAAAAAAAACUAUAUGAUUUAUGUAUCUAUCAACAAAUGUUAAUUAUUUGAUAUUCAAGAAAUAUAUGUAGGUAAUUUGAAUUUAAACUAAAAGAAACAAAAAAAAUCUAUAAUUAUGAUUUAUGUAUAUCUAUUAUAUUUGUCUCACAAUUUAGUUGAGUGCAAACAAAUGUUAAUUACUUGAUAUUCAGAAAAUAUACGUAGGUAAUAUGCAUGUAAAAUAUGAGAAACUACAUAAAUAAAUAAAUGAAGUGCAAUUA